rnacentral:rRNA from 1 species
CAGCCGCCACGGGAAUACAGAGGCCUCAAGCGUUGUUCGGAAUUACUGGGCGUAAAGGGCGCGUAGGCGGCCAUUCAAGUUAGAUGUGAAAGCCCUGGGCUCAACCUAGGAAUUGCAUUUGAUACUGUUUGGCUUGAGUUCGGGAGAGGUGAGUGGAAUUCCCAGUGUAGAGGUGAAAUUCGUAGAGAUGUGGAGGAAUACCGAUGGCGAAGGCAGCCCCCUGGGCCAAUACUGACGCUCAUGCACGAAAGCGUGGGGAGCAAACAGGAUUAGAUACCCCUGUAGUCCCUGUCUCUUAUAC